UUUGAUUCCCGAUUCGUUAACCGUUGGAUGUCCUUCAAAUUUUGAGGGUAGGUUCAUAACAUCUGAGGCCAACUUUUGACCGUUCGGAUCGUUGAAACAAGGUCUGAGGAGGAAGAAAUCGAGUUCGGAUUGCACCAGAUGUGUUGGGGAGAAAAAGAGGGAAAAAGGCAAGAACAAGGUGGAGCUUCAAGAACCAUUGCCAUCCUCCAUUUUCUUUACAACCAAAGGUUUUCCAGGUUGUUGAGUCUCGUGUGCUUGAGUUCUUGAUGAAGCUCCGCUCUGAUUGUGACACGGGGAAGAGUUUUUAGAGUCAUUUACUCUGUCAUUUUAUUUUUAAUUUAAAAUGUUUCUUGUUAGAAAAGAAAAAUAUUUUUAUUAGUGAUGCUUAUGCUAAUUUAUUUUCAUUAGCAAUAUGAAGAAAAAUGUAAUACCUUAAACCAAUAUUUUCAUAAGUUAUUUUGACUCCAAGCCUAUUUAUUAUUUAUAACCGCUGCGUAAUUUUGAAAAGCAUUCUUGAAUUAGAGUAACUUUUGAAUAUUGGGUUUAGGGCGUUACAAAGUGGUAUCAGAGCCCCGUUGGUCCAAUCGGACUAUGUGGGCUAGGUGUGUGUUAUGUGUCAAUCAGAGCAGGUCUGUCUAGUCAGAUCGAGUGGGCGUGGUGUCAGUUGUGUUUGUCUAUCGCUUGUAUUUUAUUAUGUGUUGAUUGUUAUAGUUACACUUGCACCUAGUGUCACUAUUUAACUAUCUUGCAAGAUGUGUGAUUAGUUUCAGGAAUUUCAUUGUUACGAUAUAUUCAUCCUUUCUCGUUAUGAUCUGAUUCUUAAUUUUGAAAAUUAAGGGAAGAUAUAUGUCACCUAAAUGUUUGUGUGAGACAUUGUGUUUUGUGUUUCAUUCCCUUGUAUGCAACGUGUGUUUAAACACUGUCUAUACUUGUUUCUUUUGUGAGACUAAGUUCGAGUGCGGUAAAGGUCUGCAGCUAGGUGUGGGAAUCAGGAGUCUCAGCAGAAGGUUGCAGGUGGGUUUGAGACAAGUGGGGGAGAAUGUUAUAUCCCUCCGAGAUGUUUCGAGUGUGGGAAGCUAGGAAAAGUAGAGAUGUCCGAAGGAGAGUGCUCAUACGUUUGUGGGGUCUGCUUCAGAGAUAUGACUGAGUUAGAGGAACAAUUAGAAGAACAACUAGAGAAGAAGUCUGUUAAGUUGAGUGUUUCGCCGUGGAGCAGUAGUGUAGUUGGUUAAGUAAGACGGAUUUGAGAUCGAGUUAUCAUCGGAUACAUGUAAAGUCGGAGAAUAUACUGAAGACUACUCUCAUAAAAGUUUGAGGUAUCUGUUUAAUCAGAAGAAGUUGAAUAUGAGGCAAAUGAGGUGGUUAGACAUUUUGAAGGAUUAUGACUUUAGGUUGAGUUAUCAUCCGGGUAAAGCGAAUGUGAUCGUAGAUGCAUCGAGUAGGAAGUUCUUGCACAUUGCUGCGUUUAUGACAAGAGGAUUAAAUUUGAUUGAAAAAAAAUCAAAAAUUUGAAAUUGGUGGGGCAUGUUAGGAAAAAAAAAUUGACGAACCAUAUUCUCAAAGAGGUUGGGGGGACCGUAAGGAAUUGCUUAGUAAAAAGAAAGAUGUCGCAGAGUUUGUGUAUGUCUGUUUAGUUUGUCAUAAGUCAAAGAUUGAGCAGAUAGUCGAGUUUAUUCUAGAGUGAAAGUGGGAUAGUAUUCGAUGAAUUUGUGUAAGGACUAUGGUGAAGUACCUUAUAAGGAGUUGAGAUUGUGUUGAGUAUCAACUGAGAUGUGUAUAUCAAUGACGGUGGAAGUUACGAAAAACACCUUUCAGAUAAGAGCUUGGAGUAGUAAGUAGGAUGUAUCAAAACGGAAGUUGAACAAUAAUUGUGGAGAUAAUACUCAUGGAUAAUCAAAGAUAAAUAAAAGAGAUUUAAGAUUGAGAAAAGGUUACACUAGAAAUCAGGACGGAGAAAUCAUUAGGUGGAAAAGUAUGUUGGAGCAUUUCACACGAGGCUUUUGAUGUAGAGAUGAGGUUAAAGUAUAUCAGCAAUGAACUAAUAGAAGGAGUGAGAAGGACUAGUUGUUUGGGAAGAUGUGUUAAUGAGAAUGUGGCUUAAGGAUUCACAAUAGGGAAAUGAUGAAAAGUUUGGAAAAAAAAAAAAACUAAGAAAAGUUGGAGGAGAGUUUGGAGUUAUGACGAAACAUGAUGUGCCCUGAUUGGGAAAGUCAAAAGAGAUAAAUAUUUCGUGUUGAAGUGCAUAGAAAGUAGUUAAGUGAUGAUUUGAAAGUAAAAUAGUCAUGUUAGUUCUACGAAAGAAAUUGAAAAUUGUGUAAAAGAAUCUGUCUGUCAGAGAUGACAAGUUUUGACAUUGUGUCAGGAGAAUUUGGGAAGCCUUGGCCAUCAACCGAAGAUUGAGAUGGUAGUAUUCAGACGGUGGUUGGAAUGAGAUUCGAAUAUGAACAUACGGUUUGGUACAGUUAUGAGAUUUAGGGAAAAUUGAGAACUUAUGGGCAUUUGAGAAGUUGUGAAGUUUUUAUGCGAUGAUGUUUUUCCGGAGUAUAAUGGAUUGAAUUUUACUUGCGGUAGUGGUGUUGUACUCAUUAUGGAAUGAUACUCAACGGAUGUUCGUGCUAUGGGAGCACUAUUGUAGUUUGGUGGAAAUGGAAUAUGCCAUCGUCAUGAUUGUUGGCUAUCUAUUGACAAAUUGAGGAACUGAUCACCUUUAAUCUCUUGUUAAUAGUAGACGAAAUUGUGUUGACUGGAAUAGACUAGUUUUAUCAUACUUGAUAGUGAGCAGAGUUUUGGUGGUUCUUUUGGAAAGCCGGAUGAAGGAGUCUUAUCGGAGUUGUUCCAGUCAGAUAAUUUUCGAGGACGCAAAUUCUUUAAGUGGGGGAGAGUUGUAACGCCCCGAAUUUUAAUUAGGAAUACUUUAGGGAUAUAUGAUUUAUUAAAUGAUGUCUAAUUAUGUGCUUAUGUGUAUUUGUGUGUUUAUGAAUUUUAAAUUGAUUUUGACAUGUUAAGUGUGUUUUUAUGUAUUGUGUAAUUAUUGUGGUUUGAGAUUAAAUUAGAUAGUAGUAUAAUUUAGGAGUUAGUUAUGGGAGAAAAUAAAUAAUUAGAGGUUUUGGACUUAUUUAUGAGAGAAAGAGGUAGAGAGAGAAGUAAAAAGAAGGGUUUUGGUGAAAGUUGAAGAGAAAGAAGAGAUGAGGAAUGCAAAUCUCGUUUUCAACACAGCAGCCUCACAAAAACUUUGAUUCCCGAUUCGUUAACCGUUGGAUGUCCUUCAAAUUUUGAGGGUAGGUUCAUAACAUCUGAGGCCAACUUUUGACCGUUCGGAUCGUUGAAACAAGGUCUGAGGAGGAAGAAAUCGAGUUCGGAUUGCACCAGAUGUGUUGGGGAGAAAAAGAGGGAAAAAGGCAAGAACAAGGUGGAGCUUCAAGAACCAUUGCCAUCCUCCAUUUUCUUUACAACCAAAGGUUUUCCAGGUUGUUGAGUCUCGUGUGCUUGAGUUCUUGAUGAAGCUCCGCUCUGAUUGUGACACGGGGAAGAGUUUUUAGAGUCAUUUACUCUGUCAUUUUAUUUUUAAUUUAAAAUGUUUCUUGUUAGAAAAGAAAAAUAUUUUUAUUAGUGAUGCUUAUGCUAAUUUAUUUUCAUUAGCAAUAUGAAGAAAAAUGUAAUACCUUAAACUAAUAUUUUCAUAAGUUAUUUUGACUCCAAGCCUAUUUAUUAUUUAUAACCGCUGCGUAAUUUUGAAAAGCAUUCUUGAAUUAGAGUAACUUUUGAAUAUUGGGUUUAGGGCGUUACACACUUCAUAAAAUACUCA